UUCAUCAAGGGCGGUUGGCUAUUGACUUCUAUCUCGACUUUAAUGGACGAAUGAAUGUACCUACUCGUCCUGGUAGGUAAGAGUUCGUCCUUGUGUCGUGUAACUUAGGAGACCAAUUUUCGGCCAUGGUAGGCGCACUUUCAUUGACUUGUUACUAUCAAUAGACAACCUAUACCCACAAAUUGGAUCGAGCGAGGCCGAUAUCUAAGUCCAUGAAUCUAACAAGGUAAUGAUGCGUUCUUUUCUUAUAAAUAGACCAUUCUCACUCCAUUAUUAAAGUAGAAAAAAAAACUUUUUAGACAAAAUUGUUUCACACCACUUUUUUAAUCUCAGUUAUGUACUAUCGAAGAGUGUCGAACGAACACUUUGAAACCAAUGCACAGCUCUUUAUCUGGUACACGGUUUGGAUAAGUGACCCAAGCAACCUAAAUAGAAUUCACAGCUCAACCUAAUCAACCCUCUAUUUUCGAGUUGGGUUGGGUUGUCGGUUUAUUUUUUUAUAAUUAUUUAAAAAAUUCUACUUAUCGAUCAUAUAAGUUACAUUAAUAACUAAAAUAUCAAAUAUUUACCGGUCACAACCCAUCAUCAAAAUCAGAUUCAAAUGUCAAAUAUUCUUAAAAUUUAUAA